UCCAAGGUAGCUCAAUGGUGGAGCACUCGGCUGUUAACCGAUAGGUUGCUGGUUCAAAUCCAGCCUGGGGAGCCA
rnacentral:tRNA from 1 species